rnacentral:lncRNA from 1 species
AUGAAAAAGCAAACAUAAUAUAGGAAUUUAGAUGGAUUUGGAGUUAAAAAUUAUUACAGAUCUAAAGAUCUGCAUGGAAAAAUUAGAGGUACUGGCAUACUUCAUUCUGUAAAAAAGUGGGGGGCAGUAGAAGACAUUCUUAGUGGGAAAACUAUUAACUGCUGAUAAAAAUGGGCCUAAAAUAGCCUUUUCCAGUUAGUAAUGGGGAAGAUGAGACAGAAGGACUAUCCUAGAACCUUUGACAUCAGACAUGCUUCCAGUUCUCCAGUCUUCUUAUUAGUGCUAAGAAGGUCUUGAUGGCUCAAUCAUAAUUUUUUCCAUAAGACUUCAAAAAAGCUUUUUGUUUUUCUAUUUCCUCCUGAUAUAUCUACUUUCCCUCUGGGACUUUGUGAAUUUUAAAAUUUAUACUGUCACAUUCAGUUUUCUUCAGACUGAGGAAAGCCUGAUACGCUGAAUUAUGCUCUGCUUUUUAAAGCACGUCAUCAUUCACUCCAGGAUAUUCGUUGCGGAGAAGGUUGAUGUUACAGUUUUACAAUUCACUUUAUCUCAUUUGAUUUCAUGAAGAAAAAGUAUACAAAAAUAUGAAAGGGGAAAAACAAGAGUUUUAACAACAACCAUCUCCAAUGUGAUGCAGUAGUCCUCUCUUGCCCAUUUUUAUUUUAUCCCCUCAGCCUCCAUACAGUUAUCAAUCAAAAAUUAGCCAGUUAAACCUGUUUCAGUAGGUCAUUGCCAGUAUGUUUGUUUGACCUCAACAAUUUGAUCUGCAUGACUGCAAUCACCCCCUCGUGUUCUCUGUGAUUAAAUCUCAUCUAUUUCUGAUCUACUCACACACUGUGGUCCUAAUGACCUUUCUUGCUUUAACUCCAUCACAUUGCAUUCAGGAUAAAAUCCGACCUCAGCAAGGCCCAUGAAGUCCCCACAAAGUCCCAUGUCUUCC